ensembl:lncRNA
ACCCUAAUUCACCUUUGCCGUGUAGCAUAACAUAUUCAAAGGUUCUAGAGAUGAGAUGUGAACUUUUUGGGAGGCCAUUAUUCUGCCUACUGCAACCUGAAUACACUUUUAUUAAUCUUCCCAAAUGUGGUGGGGUUUUUUCCAACUAUAAUGAAGUUAUUAUUUUCCUGAUUAGAAAAAUGUAAUUUUGUAAUUUAAAAACGUUAUUAUAUUUCUCACUCUGUUUUGUUCUUUCCUUCAGUAAAUUCCUUUAUAUGCAGAUUUAAGACCAUUUUUGAGUGAGAUACAAUCCACAGAAAUUUGCAUAUGGUCCAGAAGGAUAUCAGGCACUCCUUUCUCUAGUGUGUAUUGUGAAAACAGAAGGUGUGAUUUUCUCCAGCCAUACAUUUCCAGCUCUAAAUUGAAUCUUACUCUCCUUUUUCUGAGGUGUACAUAUACCCCAGGUUACCUGCUGCUGAGAUUCUGCCUCAAGUCACUUGCCAGCCCACUGUUUGAUGCCCUUGGGAAUAGAUUCAGCGACUUUUGCUAGAAUUUGUAAUUCAGAAGGGGAGAACAUGGCCACCUCCUGAAGACCACAUGCUCCAGGAGGGAGAAGAGAAAUAAAGAUAUGCUUCAGAUCUGGAAAUGAGCAGCAAUGAUUGACAAGAGUGGGAAGCUGCCAACAGAAGCGAACCUGAAUUCUCCAGCACCAUCCUAGUCUCUGCAAGGUGAUCAAAAGAGAGAACCCUGGGAAAGAAUCCUGGACUCUUACAAGCUGGAUAGAAGGGCACAUGGGUAUCUGCAUGUAACAAUAAAGAACUUUUAAAAGGAAGAUACCCAGCCUGUUGGCUUUUAGAUUAUGGGGCAUUUAGAAUUUUAAGGAAUGGAAAUUAGCAUUAAUGGGCAUUUCCCCACUUACACAGAUGAUUCCAGACCUUAGGACUGGGUUUCCUAGGUUCUCCAUAGAACCCUUGUUUAUGGAGAAUGAUUUGUAAAUUCAUAUCAGGUUUGUUCUUUAAGCUAUUCCUUCAGAGUAGAGCUUGGCUGGAUUUAAACAGAUAUGAUACCUUGUCAGACCUUAAUUUCCUGUCAUUAGUGGCACCUUGUCAUGGUUGAGAUACUGCAGUAUAACAGUGACACCUAGGUUUUUCUGACAAUUCGUCUCUACUUAAAUCACUUCCUGAAAUUUCCCUUGGUAUAAGCUUUUUGUUGGUUGUUGUAACACACAACUUAAAUUUGAAUCCUAACACUUUUAGCUAUUUGUCUUUCUGUGAGGUGUGUAGGGUAAGUGGCGAAGGGCUGUCUUCUCAUUAUCUUUGGCAAAUUAAGAGAAUACCUUAGAACCAGCCAAAGAUGAGCACAGAAAUUCCCAGACAGAGUUAAUAAGCUGUUCUCGUCACGUGUGCUCUUUCCCCCAUUUGAAUUGUGCUGCUGCUGGCGCCAGCGUUGGCAGCAGAAAGAAAUAUGAUGUUCAGCUAAUGGUUUGAGAAGGGGAGGGAAGGACUUGGGGUCACCUGUGGCAUAUCCUAUUUUGAGCUGAGCGAAAGGAGAUUAAUGCUGUCACUGGCUUGAUUAGCAUUGCCACUGGCCUGGCUCUCGACUUUGAAAUGUAUUAAUUCCGAGAGAACAGCUCGCCAUCAGAGUUGUCUUGUCCAUGGUUGCAACUAACCUUGUAAAAUCUCAUGGCAAUGGGCUGACGGCAGGGGGAAGCGGAGACACUGCAAAGCGCUG